rnacentral:rRNA from 1 species
AGGAAUUGGCGGGGGAGCACUACAACGGGUGGAGCCUGCGGUUCAAUUGGAUUCAACGCCGGAAAGCUUACCGGGUCAGACAGCAAUAUGAUGGUCAAGCUAAAGACUUUACCGAAUUCGCUGAGAGGAGGUGCAUGGCCGUCGUCAGUUCGUAUCGUGAGACAUCCUGUUAAGUCAGGCAACGAGCAAGACCCGUGCCCACAGUUGCCAGCAUACCCUCCGGGGUGAUGGGCACACUGUGGGGACCGCCGCUGCUAAAGCGGAGGAAGGUGCGGGCUACGGUAGGUCAGUAUGCCCCGAAUCAUCCGGGCUACACGCGGGCUACAAUGGUUGGGACAAUGGGCACCUACACCGAGAGGUGAUGGUAAUCUCCUAAACCCAGCCUUAGUUCGGAUUGAGGGCUGCAACUCGCCCUCAUGAAGCCGGAAUCCGUAGUAAUCGCGUAUCAAUAUCACGCGGUGAAUACGUCCCUGCUCCUUGCACACACCGCCCGUCAAACCAUGCGAGUGAGGUCUGAAUGAGGGCACGCUUUUUGGCGUGUUCGAAUUUGGGCUUCGCGAGUGGGGUUAAGUCGUAACAAGGUAACCUCAGUCAGUCAA